ensembl:processed_transcript Gm12059 predicted gene 12059
GGGAAGAGGGAUCGCACUUCCUCAGAAGGCUAGAGGUCCCUCCCUCAGCCGUCACGGCUCCCCCCCAUCCCCCGUGGCCCUUAAUCCCCUGGUGCGGGGGCUUGUUUCUAAGGCGCUGAGCCCUUCACCUUUCCGGAGCCCGGCAUGGUGCUGGCAACGCCUCUCUCAUCGCCUCGUUUUAAAAAUAAUGCGUUAAAAAAAUUCAGUUUGCUAUGCGAACAGCAUUCCAACAGUACACAAUUAUAUCCGAAAUAGUUAAGCAAUAAAAGAAAAAAAAAAUGACGGGCGUUGUUGAGGCAGGAGGAUUACUGCGAAUUCUACUCCACCUUGGGCUACAUACCGAGAUUGUGUCAAAAACCACGGAGUGGGGGAAAUUAAGUGAAGUAAUCGUCUACGUUGGGAACCAAAGAUUCCAAGAAAAUGCCCCAAUGUGUGCUGCUUCUAGGAUCCUAGAGAUCCAAAGACUCCUGCAUCCUUCCACAAACCUUUUACAUCACCUGAGAUCUACAUAACUGUGUUUAUGACAGCAACAGCUCCACUUCUAAGUACCAACUUGUCAGAACACGAAAGAAUGGAGUCGUAUGAAGAUAUUAGUGCUUGUGAGGAAACGCCAAGAAAACGCGAGCCUUGUGAUCUCAGUUCCUUCAAACAUGGCGCCAUUCUUAGAAUGUGCGUUCAUGCUUCUCCCAGAUGUAGCCCGUAGAGUGGGUUCGCUUCAGAUUACUCAUUAAACUGCCUAUUGUUAUUUGCUUAUAUGCCUUUAUGGAAAACAUGUUUUUGCCAUGUGCAAUUUGUCCUUGUGAUUGCACACUUUACCAUGUGACUCCUCUGAACACUCAGAGUAUAAAUUGAAUGGUUCUCUGAAGAAAGCUGGCUAUUGGAUGAGACUUUAGUGUGCCUCAUUUAUCAGCUGCACUCUCUCAGGUCCCAUCACCUCCGGGGCAGCGACACCAGCUUUCUGUCUAGUUACUUGCUUUAUUGCCAUGAAAAGAGAGCCAAAGCAACAGAAGGAGUAAAGGAUUUCCUGUGCUUUCUGUUUUACUGAAAGUUCACCAUGGGGGUGAAGCCAUGGCAGCAGAGCAGGAGUGUACUGCAUCUGUGUGCAAGGAGCAGAGAGAGAUGAAGGCUCACCAUGGAGGUGAAGGCAGUGGGGCAGGAGGAGCACUGCAUCUGUGUGCAGGGAGCAGAGAGAGAUGAAGGCUCACCAUGGAGGUGAAGGCAGUGGGGCAGGAGGAGCACUGCAUCUGUGUGCAGGGAGCAGAGAGAGAUGAAGGCUCACCAUGGAGGUGAAGGCAGUGGGGCAGGAGGCGCACUGCAUCUGUGUGCAGGGAGCAGAGAGAGAUGAAGGAAUGCUGAUGUUUAGCUUUCUUCUUUUUAUUUAUUGUAGAAACCCUGCUUUUGCCCACAUUUAGAUGGGCUUUUCCCACCUCAGUAACUCAGCAUAGACACUUCCUAACAUAAUGUCCAUGGCCUUCCCUUCUAGGUGUUUUAGAUUUUGUCAAGUUGGUGACGUUAAUCAUCAAGAAUUGUAUUAAAAUUCCAGAUCAUGGAAAAUGGAUGUUAUGUAAAUUAAUUUUAUUUUUGCAAUACUAAUGAUUGAUCCCAGAGUCUUGCAUGUGCUACCAAGUGCUGAACCACUGAGCUACACUCCCAAAGAAGAAACAGAUUCUUUAUAAAGGUAAUAUAGACAUCGGUUGUACCAAGUGCUUCAUUUGUGUUCGGUUGUUUAUAUGAGACACUGUGUCAUGUAGUCCAAGUGCCCAGGCCAUUGAACUUUUGACCCUCCUGCCUCAGACCUGCUAGUAUUAGAGGCUUAAGCCACCACACAAACUGAGCAGUGGUCUCUCUUAUGUUAAUUCAUUUAAUUCACAGAGCCUCACUGCUAUUGCUAACUUGACCGGACCCUCCCCACCUCUGUCAUGGGUAGCUGAAACAGAGGUUAUAGAAAACUGAUUCAAACUAAUUCAGUCUGAUUUUUCUCUCCCAGAAUUUAUAGGUAGGUUUAGUUAGUUUCAACCUAGAAAGGUAUGACACAGACAAACAGACCUUUGAGCCACACACAGUCGGAUGUGGGAAUCUUUGAAGGAGUGCACAGACUUACCCACGUCUCCAAAUAAACUGCUAAUUUAAGCCCACCCAAACCACCUCUGGCAUAAAACACUGGUUUUGCAAGUUUUCAAGUAGCAGUUUCUCCCCAUGUAUCCUAUAAAUUUCUUAUUUAAUUCAUUUGUUUCUUUUUUCCCUCUUUACAAUUGUAACUGCUUAUUCAUAGCCCCCUUUACGUCAAUCUGUAGAAAUUCUUUCAUCAGCUGAGACGGCAAACGUCAGUGGCGUAUAAAUGUGACAUCAGCCUUUGAAGUGCAUUCCAGAACAAUGUUUCCUAUUGGAUCGUUCCGUUCUAUAACUCAGUUUUGGUGGUGAUUCAUAUGAGGAUGACAGUGAUUCAUCUGAUUUCAGUGAGCCACAGGAUCUCAAAGAAGAACCUCACGUCCUACAGCCCAAUUUAAAAAGAAGUUCUCACAUCUGAGUAAGAGCAGUUACAUUCCAAUACAUUAAACAGAGCCAGGCAGAGUGACUCAUGCCUGGAGCCCCAGCAUCCCAGAGGCAGGAAGGUUAAGAGUUCAAGGCCAGCCUGCACUACAAAGACUACGGGCUCUGUCUCAAAAACAAACAAACAAACAAACAAACAAACACAAGCAGCAGUAACAACAACAACCACCACCACUAAAGCACACUUUGGAAUGAAGAAAGCCAUUUUCAAGAGGACUACUUUUUACUUAUAAGAUGGUAAUCAGUAGAGGACACAACUGAAUAAGGGUCUGCAAUAGAAGAGUCAACGUUGAAAGGAAAUUGAUAUUUCAUUAUUAAUGCGAGCACAUGAUUCUUUCCCAAAGUCUGUCUUACCAGACAGAUUUAAGAACACAAUUGCUGGGGUUUUAGACAUCAUAUAAUGUAUCACAUAAUCCAAUGCCGCCUACUGCAGAACCUCACUGGAGAUGGACCACCAUGUUCAAUAAAAAAAAUGUCAAGC